AAUGCUGAAGCCUCAGGAGAGAUGAGUGAACCCACAGAAGAGGAGGGAAGGGAGCCAGCAGGGAGGGAAGAGGAAGGAGGCUUGGGCACCCUCUGCCGCAAAGCUUCGACAGAGCAGGGGCAGCGUGGUCGGAAGACAGAGCGAAGCUGGUGCGGAAGGGACAGCAGGGUCUCGACACAACCAGUGAAAACGUACUGGUGAUCAGAGUAUGUCUGUUCUAGACGGAGUUCAUUGCUGAGCGAUUCCUUGGGUGGUCUCACCUUGGAGUCUUCAACUGCUGUCCAGUUUCAAACACCUAAUCUGUGACUAAAGAAAAAAUGAUGAAGAGAAAGGAGUCAAUCUGGGUGACCAGCUGGUGUCUGAACACAGGUGCAUCGGAAGCACUCCUGUGACCUCAGCGCCUCUCCCUGGAUACGCCCACCCCAGGCAAUUCCAAGCCUCCACCGGAGACCUCAAGGCAGCCCCAGCAGCACAGGAGAACUGAAGGAUUGGAGGCCUUGGCUUUCAUGCCCCUGGGAUGGGGCAAUUCUGGGGCACACCCCAGACAUUCACCACAAUAAUCUGCUUAUUAAUGACCUUCUCUUCCCUGUGUCUCCUCCCUGUGACGCCAUCAACAACUCCGGGGCCACCUCCCAAACAAACUGGCUGCUCAGAGUUAGCUGCAGAGUUAUUUGUGACAGAGAGAAAAAGCUAUAAUUUCCUACUGAUGAACCAAGAAGGGUGUUGUUAAGAAACAGUGCCUGCUAUUUUCUUCAAGGACUGUUUUGUUUUUUUUUAACCCAAAGCUUUUAAUUUUAAAAAAAGCUUAUUUUUAAUUGGAGGAUAAUUGCUUUACACUACUGUUGGCUUCUGCCGUGCAACAGCGCGAAUGAGCCUUGAGUGUACACGCUCCCUCCCUGUUGGACCUCCCCCAGCCUCACACCGCUCUGUGUCUGCAGGGCAGCCUCCCGCUGGCUGUCUCCUUUACACAUGGAGGUGUGUGUCUGUCAGCACUGUUCUCACAAUUCAGCUCACCCUCUCCUUCGCCUGCUGUGUCCGCAGUCUGCUGUCUAUGUGUGUGUCUCUACUCCUGCCCUUCAAAUAGCUUCAUCAGUACCAGCUAUUUUUUGAUUGGCUUUUGUAGCAUUUUCACUGUCACUCAAAACCAUGUGAAUGUAUGAAAGUGAAAGCGAAGUCGCUCAGUCGUGUCCGACUCUGUGCGACCCCAUGGACUGUAGCCCACCAGGCUCCUCCGUCCAUGGGAUUUUCCAGGCAAGAGUACUGGAGGGGGUUGCCAUUUCCUUCUCCAGGGGAUCUCCCCGACCCAGGGAUUGAACCUGGGUCUCCCGUAUUGUAGGCAGAUGCUUUACCAUCUGAGCCACCAAGAAUAUAUAAAACAUAAACAUAUUUUAAAAAUCCAAUUAACUGACCAAAAAGUAUUCAAGAAGUUAAAUGUUAGAGUUCUCAGUGCUUCUCCAGGUGGCCUUGAGGGACCCCAUGGUCUGGGAGAUGAAGCCACUUUUGUGUGGCAAAAAAAAAAAAAAAAUCCCUGCUUCAAACUUAUGGGGAAAACUGACGCACAUAAGUUGAGCAAAACUUAAGUAUAUGACUCAGUGAAUUUUACACACACACAUCCCCCUGGAUCCAACUACCAGAUCAACACACAGAUCCUUUCUGGCAUUCCCGACCCUCAGAGGCCUCAGCUCUGACCCCUGCUGCCUCAGUGAGCAUCGUCUGUUCUCACACCUGGUGUCUCUGGGCUCGUCCUCGGUGGGCAGUCUGGGGCCUGGUUUCCUCCCCGUUCGUCACAUCGUGUACGUCAGCCGUCUCUCCUCUUUGCUGCUGUAGAUUAUCCCAGGGUCAACAACAGCACAGGCAUCCUCUCUCUCCUAUUCUUCAUGCUAUGAGAUUGCUUUUAAUUUGGGGAUGCUAUCAAAAGGCCGCUAAGAGUACUGUCCAUGUGCCACGGUGGACACACGCACACACACUCAUCUCGGGUGCCACCGUGCAUGGAGCCAGUGCGUUACCCACAGACGUGGUUUUGGUCUUCAGUAGCCUCUCCAAGUGGUCUUCCAAGUGGCUCGUACCAACUUACACUCUUACCAACAAACAACGUGAGUUCCCUACCCCACCUCCUUGCUAAGACUCGGUUCUGUUGGUGUUUUUAAUUUCAGCCAUUUCUUUGAGUAUAUAGAACAUUUCUUUGAUAAAUAGUGAUAAG
ensembl:lncRNA